GCCAUAAAGCUAGCUUAACCAAAAAACAUAACUUAACCAACUAAAUAAGCUUUCACAAACCCCAAUCAACAAACCAAAUCAUUUUUCCCCCCUAGUAUGGGCGACAGAAAAGGAAAUACUUAAGCAAUAGAAAAAGUACCGCAAGGGAAAGCUGAAAGAGAAAUGAAACAACCCAUCAAAGCACAAAAAAGCAAAGAUUAAACCUUGUACCUUUUGCAUCAUGAUCUAGCCAGAAUAAUCAAGCAAAGAGAACUUUAGUUUGAACCCCCGAAACUGCAGUGAGCUACUUCGAGACAGCUUAACAUCUAGAGCAAACCCGUCUCUGUGGCAAAAGAGUGGGAAGAUCCCCAAGUAGAAGUGAUAAACUUACCGAACUCAGUUAUAGCUGGUUGCCCAGGAAAUGGAUAGAAGUUCAGCCCUAUUUUCCUUACCCCCCUAAAUGUAAUUCACAGCCUUAGAAAAUAAGAAAAAAAUAGGAGUUAGUCAAAAGGGGGAUAGCCCUUUUGAAAAAGAACACAACCUUAAAAGUAAAAUAAGGGUCACAACACCCAAGGACCCCAGUCCCAGUGGGCCUAAAAGCAGCCACCUGAACAGAAAGCGUUAAAGCUCAGACCAAAAACAACCAACUAUUCCGACACCUACCCCAAAUUUACUUAAUCUUACUGGGCUAUCCUAUUUUAAUAUAGAAAAAAUUAUGCUAGAAUGAGUAACAAGAAGAACAAAUCUUCUCCAAGCAUAUGUGUAUGUUAGAUCGGACACACCACUAACAAAUAACGAACUCAACUAAAGAGAGUACCACGGACUAUAAAAACCCCAAGAAAACCCCGAGAACUAAUAAUCGUUAACCCAACACAGGUAUGCAACACAAAGGAAAGACUAAAAGAGGAGAAAAGGAACUCGGCAAACAAAAGCCUCGCCUGUUUACCAAAAACAUCGCCUUCUGCAAAAAUCAAAGUACAGAAGGUCCCGCCUGCCCAGUGACCACCCAGUUUAACGGCCGCGGUAUCUUGACCGUGCAAAGGUAGCGCAAUCACUUGUCCUUUAAAUGAGGACCUGUAUGAAUGGCAAAACGAGGGCUUAACUGUCUCUUCCCUCCAGUCAGUGAAAUUGAUCUGCCCGUGCAGAAGCGGACAUAAACCUGCAAGACGAGAAGACCCUGUGGAGCUUAAGACAUAAGAUUAAACACAUCUAGCAACCACAAUUAAUGGCAAAAACACUAUGUGUUACCUAAUCAGCCUGUCUUCGGUUGGGGCGACCGCGGAGUAAAACAAAACCUCCUCGUGGACUAGGACACUCCCAAAACCAAGAAGUACCCUUCUAAGUCACAGAACUUCUGACCACUAAUGAUCCGGCCUAAGCCGAUCAACGGACCAAGUUACCCCAGGGAUAACAGCGCAAUCUCCUCCAAGAGUUCCUAUCGACGAGAAGGUUUACGACCUCGAUGUUGGAUCAGGAUACCCCAAUGGUGCAGCCGCUAUUUAAGGUUCGUUUGUUCAACGAUUAAAUCCUACGUGAUCUGAGUUCAGACCGGAGAAAUCCAGGUCAGUUUCUAUCUGCAAAAUUCCCCUUCCUAGUACGAAAGGACCGGAAAGGGGGGGCCUAUGUUAUAGACACGCCCCACCUCCACUCAAUGAAGUCAACUCAAAUGUGCAAAGAGGAACACAACUCCGCAGCCAAAGAUAAAGGCCC
rnacentral:rRNA from 1 species